UGGCGGCGUGCCUAAUACAUGCAAGUCGAACGCUUUGUGCUUAAUUGAUAUGACGAGCUUGCUCUGAUUUGAUUUUUUGAUUUCAAAGAGUGGCGAACGGGUGAGUAACACGUGGGUAACCUACCUCUUAGCAGGGGAUAACAUUUGGAAACAAGUGCUAAUACCGUAUAAUACCAACAACCGCAUGGUUGUUGGUUGAAAGAUGGUUCUGCUAUCACUAAGAGAUGGACCCGCGGUGCAUUAGCUAGUUGGUAAGGUAAUGGCUUACCAAGGCAAUGAUGCAUAGCCGAGUUGAGAGACUGAUCGGCCACAAUGGGACUGAGACACGGCCCAUACUCCUACGGGAGGCAGCAGUAGGGAAUCUUCCACAAUGGGCGCAAGCCUGAUGGAGCAACGCCGCGUGUGUGAUGAAGGGUUUCGGCUCGUAAAACACUGUUAUAAGAGAAGAACGGCACUGAGAGUAACUGUUCAGUGUGUGACGGUAUCUUACCAGAAAGGAACGGCUAAAUACGUGCCAGCAGCCGCGGUAAUACGUAUGUUCCAAGCGUUAUCCGGAUUUAUUGGGCGUAAAGCGAGCGCAGACGGUUAUUUAAGUCUGAAGUGAAAGCCCUCAGCUCAACUGAGGAAUUGCUUUGGAAACUGGAUGACUUGAGUGCAGUAGAGGAAAGUGGAACUCCAUGUGUAGCGGUGAAAUGCGUAGAUAUAUGGAAGAACACCAGUGGCGAAGGCGGCUUUCUGGACUGUAACUGACGUUGAGGCUCGAAAGUGUGGGUAGCAAACAGGAUUAGAUACCCUGGUAGUCCACACCGUAAACGAUGAGUGCUAGAUGUUCGAGGGUUUCCGCCCUUGAGUGUCGCAGCUAACGCAUAAGCACUCCGCCGGGGG
rnacentral:rRNA from 1 species